GUGAAAUAAAAAAAAGUAACAUACCAAGCUUUAUAGUAAUUUGGCAUGGCAAUAACGACUAGCUUAUUUCAUACAGGAAAAGUGUGACGUGAUCAGUGGUUAAAAUGAAUGCUCAGUCCAAUGAGGGUCCUGCACCCGUUUAUGUAGUCGUCUCACCAGGCCCAAACAUGCCCCCAAACCAGGGCACACAGCCAGCAUCUGGUCCUCAAAAUAUGAAUAAUAUGGCCUCUCAGCAGUCAAGACUACAGAAAUUCCCGUUUGAUGUACUCAAAUCUGUAAGCAUCGAAGUGACGUUAGUCUUGUCCAUUUUGGUCACUCUCUUAGGAUUUCUGCCCACUGGAGUUGUUGCAUUGGUGUUUUCC
rnacentral:sRNA from 1 species